rnacentral:miRNA from 1 species
CCUGGAGAUUCAAGUUCACUU